rnacentral:rRNA from 1 species
AACGCUAGCUACAGGCUUAACACAUGCAAGUCGAGGGGCAGCAUUUUAGUUUGCUUGCAAACUGAAGAUGGCGACCGGCGCACGGGUGAGUAACACGUAUCCAACCUGCCGAUAACUCCGGAAUAGCCUUUCGAAAGAAAGAUUAAUACCGGAUAGCAUACGAAUAUCGCAUGAUAUUUUUAUUAAAGAAUUUCGGUUAUCGAUGGGGAUGCGUUCCAUUAGUUUGUUGGCGGGGUAACGGCCCACCAAGACUACGAUGGAUAGGGGUUCUGAGAGGAAGGUCCCCCACAUUGGAACUGAGACACGGUCCAAACUCCUACGGGAGGCAGCAGUGAGGAAUAUUGGUCAAUGGGCGAGAGCCUGAACCAGCCAAGUAGCGUGAAGGAUGAAGGCUCUAUGGGUCGUAAACUUCUUUUAUAUGGGAAUAAAGUUUUCCACGUGUGGAAUUUUGUAUGUACCAUAUGAAUAAGGAUCGGCUAACUCCGUGCCAGCAGCCGCGGUAAUACGGAGGAUCCGAGCGUUAUCCGGAUUUAUUGGGUUUAAAGGGAGCGUAGGUGGAUUGUUAAGUCAGUUGUGAAAGUUUGCGGCUCAACCGUAAAAUUGCAGUUGAAACUGGCAGUCUUGAGUACAGUAGAGGUGGGCGGAAUUCGUGGUGUAGCGGUGAAAUGCUUAGAUAUCACGAAGAACUCCGAUCGCGAAGGCAGCUCACUAGACUGUCACUGACACUGAUGCUCGAAAGUGUGGGUAUCAAACAGGAUUAGAUACCCUGGUAGUCCACACAGUAAACGAUGAAUACUCGCUGUUUGCGAUAUACAGUAAGCGGCCAAGCGAAAGCAUUAAGUAUCCCACCUGGGGAGUACGCCGGCAACGGUGAAACUCAAAGGAAUUGACGGGGGCCCGCACAAGCGGAGGAACAUGUGGUUUAAUUCGAUGAUACGCGAGGAACCUUACCCGGGCUUAAAUUGCAACAGAAUAUAUUGGAAACAGUAUAGCCGUAAGGCUGUUGUGAAGGUGCUGCAUGGUUGUCGUCAGCUCGUGCCGUGAGGUGUCGGCUUAAGUGCCAUAACGAGCGCAACCCUUAUCUUUAGUUACUAACAGGUUAUGCUGAGGACUCUAGAGAGACUGCCGUCGUAAGAUGUGAGGAAGGUGGGGAUGACGUCAAAUCAGCACGGCCCUUACGUCCGGGGCUACACACGUGUUACAAUGGGGGGUACAGAAGGCGGCUACCUGGUGACAGGAUGCUAAUCCCAAAAACCUCUCUCAGUUCGGAUCGAAGUCUGCAACCCGACUUCGUGAAGCUGGAUUCGCUAGUAAUCGCGCAUCAGCCAUGGCGCGGUGAAUACGUUCCCAGGCCUUGUACACACCGCCCGUCAAGCCAUGAAAGCCGGGGGUACCUGAAGUGCGUAACCGCGAGGAUCGCCCUAGGGUAAAACUGGUGACUGGGGC